rnacentral:rRNA from 1 species
AGAGUUUGAUCCUGGCUCAGAAUCAACGCUGGCGGCGUGCCUAACACAUGCAAGUCGAACGCGAAAGCCCCGCAAGGGGUAAGUAGAGUGGCAAACGGGUGAGUAACACGUGGGUGACCUGCCUUCGAGUGGGGGAUAACGUCCCGAAAGGGACGCUAAUACCGCAUGACAUCCUGCUUUUGGAAAAGCGGAGAUCAAAGCUGGGGAUCGCAAGACCUGGCGCUUGAAGAGGGGCCCGCGCCUGAUUAGCUAGUUGGUAGGGUAACGGCCUACCAAGGCAACGAUCAGUAUCCGGCCUGAGAGGGCGGACGGACACACUGGGACUGAGACACGGCCCAGACUCCUACGGGAGGCAGCAGUGGGGAAUUGUUCGCAAUGGGCGCAAGCCUGACGACGCAACGCCGCGUGGAGGACGAAGAUCUUCGGGUCGUAAACUCCUGUCGACCGGGACGAAAUUCAUGAGGGCGAACAUCCCUCGUGAUUGACGGUACCGGUGGAGGAAGCCCCGGCUAACUCCGUGCCAGCAGCCGCGGUAAUAC